UACUACACUUUUGGAAUCGGUCCCUCCCCGCAGAGACGAUCAAAAGGAGCUGAGAUCCAUCUUGACAAAACACCCUCUCAUCUCGCCUCUGAAGGCGAAGCGCACACUGAAUGGACAGAUUAAAUAAACAUUGCAGCCACCUUAGAUACAGACCAGCACUCUUACUACAUAAUUAUUAGGCUGAUGAUUGCACAUCAGUGUUUUUUUGGAUGCUGCAUCUGCCUCCGACGAUGAUGGAAGUUGUUGUGUGUAUCCACAUAUUUUCCCCCGCCUGUCAAAAAUUGCAUUCAGGCAGAGCCUUGGUCCUCUCAUCAAGAGUCAUAAUUUACUUGUCAAAGCAGCAGUCCUCUCGACAUGCUGCAGGCCCCCCGUUGUUAUAAUUGCGAGGCAGUUUGGUUCUCCUAAAAUGCCUCCAGUCAAGAUGCAGCGGCAGGCCCCGCUAGUCAGGCUUUGUGUGGCCUUCUCUUCAAAAGUAACCAUUUACACUGGAAAAUGGUAAAACACGACUAAAGAAAAUCCAUUUGACUUGAUUCACUAUACUUACACCAUCAACUACUCAUGAUCAAAGGCUUUAAGCAGGCAGCAGCUCACAGAAAACCGCACACCGACACAAGGUCCCCAUCUGCUGGAGAGAAGAAGUACUGCUCAUCAGUAGCCAGUUUUCUUACAUCACAUGCGGUGGCUGGCCUGGCUGCUGUCACUGGUUUGGCUGUUUUUCAUGGUGCAGUGUGUUCUGGUUCCCACUGCGACUUCAGGUUAGCACAUGUUAUGAUUCAUCCCCUCCUACAGCAGCACUCAGUGUUAAUGAAAACAAACGCUGUCAGUGGAAAGAAGUGAAUCAGCCCCAUGGAUGGAGCUGUUGACCCAAGCAGAGUUUUCCCCACUACAACAUAUGUAUAUUCAUGUAAAUGCGAUAUGACUUGCUUUUAAACUCCC
rnacentral:lncRNA from 1 species